GGACUACAGGGGUUUCUAAUCCUGUUUGCUCCCCACGCUUUCGCGUCUCAGCGUCAGUGAUCGUCCAGAUGGCCGCCUUCGCCACUGGUGUUCUUCCCGAUAUCUACGAAUUUCACCUCUACACCGGGAGUUCCGCCAUCCUCUCCGACACUCAAGCCAAGUAGUUUCGGGCGCACUUCCUGGGUUAAGCCCAGGGCUUUCACACCCGACAUGCUUGGCCGCCUACACGCGCUUUACGCCCAAUAAUUCCGAACAACGCUUGCACCCUCUGUAUUACCGCGGCUGCUGGCAC
rnacentral:rRNA from 1 species